UUGUUCUGGAUCCAGCAGCUGUCUCUUGUAUGACCUCUGGUUCUUGAGACUUCAGCUAGCAUCUUACUUGUCUAUCUUGGGAUUCGCCGAUCUUCGUGGCCUGCAAGCAAGAAUCCCGCUCCCUGACCUGCCUAUCUUGGGUUCACCAGCCCCUGCAGCUGACUCAGGAGAAACCUUGUGGUCUUGCCUGCCGAACUUGGGGAUUCCUCGACCGUCACAACCUGUGAGUGGGAUCCCUGCUCUCUAAGAUGCCCAUCUUCGGUUCACCAGCUUCUGCGGCUCCAUGAAUUGGGAAAGGACUCUAUCCUGAUCCAAGGACUUGGGACGUUCCAGCCCCAUACAAUUGUAAGUGGCUCAGUGGUUAAGAGGGUGGCGGCUAACCAGAAGGUCAGCAGUUCAAAUCCAUCAACCACUCCUUGGAAACCCUAUAGGGCAGUUCUACUCUGUCCUACAGGGUUGAUAUGAGUCGGAAUCAACCGGAUGGCAACAGUCCUUCAGCCUCCAAUAUCAGUAACCCAUCUACCAAUCUGCAGGUCACCUCCCUGAUCCAAGGUAAAGGGAGUUUCCCUUGGGUGUAGCCUGUCAAGAGAUAAAAGGAAAGGGAAGCAAGCAGAGAGCUGGGGGACCUCAUACCACGAAGAGAGCAGCACCAGGAGCAAAGUAUGUCCUUUGGACCUGGGGCCCCUGUGCCUGAGAAGUUCCUCAACCAGGGGAAGAUUGAGGACAAGGACCUUCCUCCAGAGCUGACAGAGAGAAAGCCUUCCCUUUGGCUGACACCCUGAAUUUGGACUUGUAACCUACUAGACUGUGAGAGAAUAAAUUUCGCUUUGU